UACGUAGGGUGCGAGCGUUAAUCGGAAUUACUGGGCGUAAAGGGUGCGCAGGCGGUUAUAUAAGUCAGAUGUGAAAUGCCUGGGCUCAACCUGGGGACUGCAUUUGAGACUGUAUAGCUAGAGUGUAUCAGAGGGGGGUAGAAUUCCACGUGUAGCAGUGAAAUGCGUAGAUAUGUGGAGGAACACCGAUGGCGAAGGCAGCCCCCUGGGAAGGCACUGACGCUCAAGCACGAAAGCGUGGGGAGCAAACAGG
rnacentral:rRNA from 1 species